rnacentral:rRNA from 1 species
GACGAACGCUGGCGGCGUGCUUAAUACAUGCAAGUCGAACGGAAAGGCCCUGCUUUUGCGGGGCGCUCGAGUGGCGCACGGGUGAGUAUCACGUGAGUAACCUGCCCUUGACUUUGGGAUAACUUCUGGGAACUGGGGCUAAUACCGGGUAGAAGCUCCUGCUGCAUGGUGGGGGAUGGAAAGAUUCGGCGGUUGUGGAUGGACUCGCGGCUUAUCAGCUUCUUUGUGGGGUAGUGGCUGACCAAGGCUUUGACGGCUAGCCGGCCUGAGAGGGUGACCGGCCACAUUGGGACUGAGAGACGGCCCAGACGCCUACGGGAGGCAGCAGUGGGGAAUAUUGCACAAUAGGCGGAAGCCUGAUGCAGCAACGCCGCGUGCGGGAUGACGGCCUUCGGGUUGUAAACCGCUUUCGCCUGUGACGAAGCGUGAGUGACGGUAAUGGGUAAAGAAGCACCGGCUAACUACGUG